rnacentral:pre_miRNA from 1 species
GGGUCCGUCCACUCUAAGCUCGAACACCAAGCCUAGAGCCUGUAUCGUUUGGUGUUCUACCUUACAGUGAGCGGACUC